ACGGGAGGCAGCAGUAGGGAAUCUUCCACAAUGGGCGAAAGCCUGAUGGAGCAAUGCCGCGUGAGUGAAGAAGGAUUUCGGUUCGUAAAACUCUGUUGCAAGGGAAGAACAAGUAGCGUAGUAACUGGCGCUACCUUGACGGUACCUUGUUAGAAAGCCACGGCUAACUACGUGCCAGCAGCCGCGGUAAUACGUAGGUGGCAAGCGUUGUCCGGAAUUAUUGGGCGUAAAGCGCGCGCAGGUGGUUCCUUAAGUCUGAUGUGAAAGCCCACGGCUCAACCGUGGAGGGUCAUUGGAAACUGGGGAACUUGAGUGCAGAAGAGGAUAGUGGAAUUCCAAGUGUAGCGGUGAAAUGCGUAGAGAUUUGGAGGAACACCAGUGGCGAAGGCGACUAUCUGGUCUGUAACUGACACUGAGGCGCGAAAGCGUGGGGAGCAAACAGGAUUAGAUACCCUGGUA
rnacentral:rRNA from 1 species